GACAGUUUUAAAUGAUGUUACUUUUUUUCAAAUGGAGAAAGACAUCAAUUAAAUCUGUGCU
rfam:Danio rerio unplaced genomic contig NA1045, GRCz11 reference primary assembly.